UAAUGUUGCUUCGGUUUUGGUUCUUGUGAAUUUUGACAUUGAUUCGUUCGAAAUUUACACUCUCGGGGCAUAAUAGAACAAUAUAAUUAGUUUUUACUCUUUGUUCGAUAGAAUGAGAAAAAAAACUCCUUGCAAAUUUAUACUGUUAGGGCGCAACUGAGUAGUCUAAUGUUGUUCCGGUUUUGGUUCUUGUGAACGUUGACAUCGAUUCGUUCCAAUAUUACACUCUCGGGGCAUAAUAGAACAAUAUAAUUAGUUUUUAAUCUUUGUUUAAUUUAAUGAGAAAAAGUACUCGUCGCAAAGUUAUAUUGUUACGGCGCAACUGAGUGUCUAAUGUUGUUCCUGUUUUGGUUCUAAUGAACGUUGACAUCGAUUCGUUCGAAAUCUACAUUCUCGGGGUAUAAUAGAACAAUAUAAUUAGAUUUUACACAUUGUUCGAUUGAAUGAGAAAAAGUACUCGUUGCAAAGUUAUAUCGUUACGGCGCAACUGAGUUGUCUAAUGUUGUUCCGGUUUUGGUUCUUGUGAACAUUGAUAUCGAUUCGUUCGAAAUUACACUCUCGGGGCAUCAUAUAACAAUAUAAUUAGCUUUUUCUCUUUUUUCGAUAGAAUGAGAAAAAGUACUCGUUGCAAAGUUAUAUUGUUAUGGCGCAACUUAGUCUAAUGUUGUUCCGGUUUUGGUUCUUGUGAACGUUGACAUCGAUUCGAUCGAAAUUUGUACUCUCGGGGCAUAAUAGAACAAUAUAAUUAGCACUUACUCUUUGUUCGAUAGAAUGAGAAAAAGUACUCGUUGCAAAUUUAUACUGUUAGGGCGCAACAUAGUAGUCUACUGUUGUUUUGGUUUUGGUUCUUGUGAACGUUGAGAUCGAUUCGUUCUACUAUUAAACUCUCAGGGCAUAAUAGAAAAAGUACUUUUUGCAAAGUUAUACUGUUAGGGCGCAAUUGAGUUUUCUUAUGUUGUUCCGGUUUUGGUUCUUGUGAACGUUGACAUCGAUUCGUUCGAAAUUUACACUCUCGGGGCAUAAUAGAACAAUAUAAUUAGCAUUUACUCUUUGUUCGAUAGAAUGAGAAAAAGUGCUCGUUGCAAAUUUAUACUGUUAGGGCGCAACAUAGUAGUCUAAUGUUGUUCUGGUUUUGGUUCUUGUGAACGUUGACAUCGAUUCGUUCUAAUAUUAAACUCUCAGGGCAAAAUAGAACAAUAUAAUUAGGUUUUACUCUUUGUUUGAUUAAAAGAGAAAAAGUACUCGUUGCAAAGUUAUACAGUUAGGGCGUAACUGUGUAGUUUAAUGUUGUUCCGGUUUUGGUUCUUGUGAAUGUUGACAUCGAUUCGAUCGAAAUUUGCACUCUCGGGGCAUAAUAGAACUAUAUAAUUAGAUUUUACUCUUUGUUUGAUUGAAUGAGAAAAGUAUUUGUUGCAAUGUUAUACUGUUAGGGCGCAAGUGAGUAGUCUAAAGUUGUUCCGAUUUUGGUUCUUGUGAACGUUGACAACGAUUCGUACGAAAUUUACACUCUGGGGCAUAAUAAAACAAGAUAAUUAGGUUUUAGACUUUGUUUGAUUGAAUGAGAAAAAGUACUUGUUGCAAAGUUAUACUGUUAGGGCGCAAAUGAGUUGUCUUAUGUCAUUCCGGUUUUGGUUUCUUGUGAACGUUGACAUCGAUUCGUUCGAAAUUUACGCUCUCGGGGCAUAAUUGAACAAGAUAAUUCGGUUUUACUCUUCGUUCGAUUGAAUGAGAAAAAGUACUCGUUACAAAGUUAUACAGUCAGGGCGCAACUUAGUAGUCUAAUGUUCUUUCGGUUUUGGUUCUUGUGAACGUUGACAUCGAUUCGUUCGAAAUUUACACUCUCGGGGCAUAAUAGAACAAUAUAAUUAGCUUUUACUCUUUGUUCGAUAGAAUGAGAAAAAGUACUUGUUGCAA
rnacentral:lncRNA from 1 species